GUUACAAGGGAGAGGGAGAGGGAGGGGAGAGAAAGAGAGGAUGGAGCCCCCGUUUGAAUUCUCUCCGGCGGGAGUCGCCCCGAUUCCGUCAACUGUCAGCCACCAGCCACGGUCAGGUAUGGCUGACGCUCCGCAGGAAAACACAAGUCCUUUGGCGCAGCAUCCGUCUACGGAGGUUCUGCCUGACGGUGGCCGGAAAAGUCUUUCUCCCGUCUGCGGCGAGGAGCUGACCAAAGGCGGCACCACCAGAAAUCGGUGGCCGCAGGCAGAGACGGCCGCGUUGCUUAGGAUUCGCUUGGAGAUGGACUCUGAGUUUAGGGAUUCUAAUCUGAAAGGGCCACUCUGGGAGGAAGUUUCCAGGAAACUUGCAGAAUUUGGAUAUCAAAGGGAUGCUAAGAAAUGCAAAGAGAAAUUUGAAAAUAUUUACAAAUACUAUAGAAGGACCAAAGAAGGAAGAGUGGGCCGCCGAGAUGGUAGAAGUUAUAGAUUCUUUAAUGAACUUGAAGCUCUGGAGGCCAACAACAUUAACAAUCACAUAAACCAAGAUUUUAUGAACAAUAAUGGGUCUGAAAAUGCAAGGCCACGUGCAAUUUCAACUCAAGAUGCUGAUUAUGGUUACCAUCCAACUAUAGAUUGGGAUGCCUUACCAUUUGAGAACCUGGACCUUCUCACCUGCUGUAAUUUGUCUGACUCAUCGGACAGUGGUUCUGAUGAUCCUGAAUAUAUGAUAGACUACAAAUCUAGCACCAACCUCCUCAUUUUGUUUGAGAACUUCUUCAAGCAGGUGAUUGCAAAGCAGGACGCCAUGCACCACAGAUUUCUUGAGAUGUUGGAGAAGAGGGAGAAUGAUUUGUUGGCAAGAGAGGCAGCAUGGAGAGAAGAGGAAAGGGCAAGGGUUGAUAGAGAGAGUCAAGCAAUUGCUCAAGCGAGGUCCUUGGCUGAUUUACGAUAUGCUGCUAUCAUUUCCUCUUUGCAGAAAAUAUGUAGCAGAGAUAUAAAAUUAUCCCAUUUGGAUCCACCUAUGAUUCACCAGUUUGUAAAUGCUAACAGUGAUAUGGAAGAAUCACAUGAGAGCAAAGGUCUGACUUCAGGUUCUGGCGGCAGAUGGCCACGCUCUGAAGUUCAUGCAUUGAUUGAACUCAGAAAGGGGAAAGGGUUGAAAUUUCAGGAGACGGGAACCAAAAGUGGACUUUGGGAUGACAUAGCAGCUGGUAUGGCUAGAUUGGGCUACAAUCGUAGUGCAAAAAGGUGCAAAGAAAAAUGGGAGAACAUUAACAAGUACUUCAGGAAAACAAAGGGGAGCAACAGGAAGAGGCCACGUAAUUCAAAGACUUGUCCUUAUUUUGAUGAACUGGAGGUCUUUUAUCAAAAGGGCAUGCCUAAUUCCUUCGCAAAAACUCUGACAGGCACCGACAUGAUCAGUGAUGAAGAAGUCUUGGAGCAGGUUAUUGAAUUGUUCAACGAUGCAUCUUUUCACAGUUCCAUGUAAUGCCAUGUAGUCACACCACCAUAAGGCAUGCAUGGAGAUACAUGAGGAUCAAGAUGAUUCUCUCUUCUCUAUCCGCGCAUAUAUAUGUUUAAACUGUAAACACAUGCGCACACCCACACACACACAUUAUAUACAUAUGUAUAUUUUUUCGUAUUUAUAUGUGUAACGUGUAUGUGAGGUUUGUUAGUAGCUUGCUGGAGCUUUUUUUCCUCACAAAUGUAUUAAACUGCUCCUGCUGCAUGUUUCUAUUGCUUUACCAAGUCAGGACAGUAACGUUCUGAUGAAAUAUUCACAAUUCCAGGCGUUCUUUCCAUGGUGUAUGCAAAUUCGAAGCAUGAGAAUUCUGCUGGAACACUUAUGACAUCUCAGGCUGCUAAUUCUGCCGUGGUGCCCUUCCCUUCAAUAAAAGAUGGAAGCGUGUUGGUUGAGAACAGUUUGAA